AUCAUUUAUUUUGUUACAAAUUUAAAAUUUCGUCUAAUGUGGUAGAUCUUCUUUCUACUAAGAUUAAAAGUGUACGAGUAUCAACGCUUACGGCUUAACAUGGAAAUUAAAAUAUUGCUAAAUAUCGUUUAUUUUCAGGGCGAUUUCUGAAGGACAAUAUCAAAAGUAUACACCCUAACACUUACGUAUACAUAGCAGAGUGGAGAAGGCAACGAGAUUUUGACCAAUUUACGGCGUGCCAAGUGGAAAGAUAAGCUAAUACGGCUUACUGAGGGGACUGUAUCGGAAAACUAAUUCUGCAUAAAUACACGUACAAAAUGCAUUAACACAUGUCCCUGUGAUACCUGUUAUUUGUUUAAAAUUUAGCGGACUCAGGAGUGAUUACAAAAAUAUGAAAACUAAUGUCGAACAAAAGGUUUGAUUCACAACAUUUGUCAGGACAACUUAUCUAACAAAUCAAAGUGUAACCAAAAUAAGACCCUAGAAUGGCAGAUAAUGACCUUGAGUGAAGUCACGCACUUGUGGACGUUGUGUGUAAGGUUAAAGGCGCCUUUGACUGUUAACGAACACUCCCCUUUUCCACUCAAGUCACUCUCCCCGCCUAUCCCAAGUAACCCAUAAAGAAUUACACAACAAGAGAUGUGGACGGCUCGAACGCCACGAGCACACUGAAGCCGUCCGUACCGCAAGUCGAUGCAACGUGGCGAUAACAAUUAUGUAGAUGAAAUUGUUUUUAAUUUAAUUUCAUAUAUUUAUAUAUCUAAUAUACCUAACAUUUUUUUAUAAUUAAAAACACCGUAACUAUAGUACACUUGCUCUCAGUUCAUUUUGUUUGAACACACAUAUUUUGAUGAAAGCUUGUUAGCGUGAUUUUCCAUGUGACAUCUUAAGAUAUGCGGGGAAGACAUGCGUAACGUUACUAUUGAAAUGAAAGCCUUUCAUAUGAAAAACAAUGACUAUAUUUUUAAAGAUUUUUCUCUGCGAAACGUAAAGAAAAGUAUUUUACUUUUAUUUUAAGGAAAAAAUAUUGUUUAAGUCUGAUUUAUGUGCUACUAUUACCGUAAACAUUACGCCUACGCUUCUGGCUACUGACGUUUAAAAUUUAUAUUAGCACUACGUAGUAGUAAAAAGCUGUAACCCAUGGUAAGCUGGUUCAGACAAUGAGGUCCAGGGUUCGAUUGCCGGAUCAGGCCAAUAAAAAAAAAAACUCGUAAUUGGGAUUGUUCUUACAAGAAGAAUCUUAAUAGCAGCCUGGAGUUGGGAAGUUGGUGGUGUGGACUCCCCGUGCCUCUACUCCUGCGCCUGAUCUUUCAUCAAACUUGAAGAGUAAGGGAAAAGAGAAUACACCUGUGCUUGCUCACACACUAUAUUUCAUGCUUACAUGGUUAAUCUUACCAUGAGACUGGCGAAAAAGAAAAAACAAUUCCGUUGGGAGCGUAUUAUUGUAAUUGAGAAUUUAUUGUAAGAAUCCCAACCUAUUUACCUCCAGCCCAGGGCCUCUUGAACUGACACCAAAUAUGCCGACCUUUGGACCUUUUAAAAGCCUCAAUAGCUCAAUGGUAAGAGCGGUCGGAUUCAUCACCGCGGGUUCAAUCCCUCCCCGUUGGUCUGUUGUCGUUCCCACUCCUAGCACAGACUUGGUCAUAUUUAGAAAGACAUGGCAAAUAUUCUUAAAAAAUAUAAUGCAGCCAGUAUAAGUCAUAAAAAGAAGAACUUAAUGUAACCUCAUGUAUUUA